AGUUGGGGGAUAUGAUUCAAUACAUAAUGCAACUCCGUUGAUGAGUAUUUAACAGUGUGUCGUGCAUUCUCAUGAGGUCCUCAUUCAACAUAAAACAGCUGAGUGGAAGCCUUUUUCUUUUCGAAAAGGAGUUGAGUGGAAGCUGCAUAGCAGCUGAGUGGAAGCUGCUUCUGAAUGACUGUUUUUCAGUGUCUGUCGCUAUCUCUUUGUAGGUAGUGUUGGGCUGCCUUUUUUUUCAGUCUCGCCAUCUCUUCCUCCUUUUCUUUCUCACGAGUCAUGACUUAUUUUUUUUAAGCAAGUGAAGGGUGAAGGCUACAACUUAUAUCUACCAAUUCUCCUCCAGCUACAACUUAUGCAGUGGAUGAACUUGAGUUAAACAUUGCCACAGACUUCUCAUUUGAUGUUGCGUACAUAGAAAAAAAAGGAUUAACUGUCAGGGAAAAUUUCAUGCUGGAAUUCCAUUGAUGAUAAAAAGAUAAAGGUUUCUAUGUUCAGUUUUGGUUAAUACAAUCGUGGAUUCUAAGUCUUGUUGGAAGCCAUGUGUCUGAGUAAAAAAUGAGGUAGUGGCUGCAAUCUGUGGAAUUCAAAGCAUGUACAACCAAGCAGCAUCAUGAGCACACUGACUGAAGAAAAGGUCGAAGCUCAAGUGGGUUGAUUCGGUUCUACUACUAGUGCUUUCGGUAAACAUCCAACACAAUGGCUCGCUGAUAACUUUGAAAAUGACACUUUGGUCUGUUAAAGAUCAUAUAUAUAAUAUGUAUACUCCACAAAACCAACUAUUUAAUCACAAAUCUUUAGGUGUCUGGGGAUCUUCAUGGCUGCAUUAAUUCCAAGUCCCAAUGGCGCAGUAUCCCCCCGGGAUCUUAACUGAGUUGUUAUGAUAUGCUUUAUCGUUUUAGUUUGACAAGCAAAGUGUUUUGCAUCUGCUCUAAUUGAUCAACGACUCUUUGAAUUGGUGUGUAAGUCUUGUCGAAGACCCUGCGGUUCCUUUCACGCCAAAAUUGACGAAAUCACCAGAACUACCAUGGAGUUUAGGGUUUUCUUUUUUGGUUCCUUGCAAUGCAGCCUGAACCAGCUGCUUCCGCCAUACCUGCGCUUCUUCCUGCCCAUUUAUUUACAACAGCCAAUGAUUUUCUUAUGGUUCUCUCGCCGCUGAGUUUUUUCUGGUUUUUGCGUGCGGGACCAGAAGGGUGUCGAAAUGGUUCCUGUAGUAUUUAUUAUCAUAGUAGUAGAAGAGAUGUGGACUACCCAACGUAAAUGAACCUCUCUGAAGAGUGAAAACUGGUGUUUCUAAUAAAGGAAACUUGGGAAUCCAAAUGAAUACAGUGUGUGGCCUGUGAGCAGAUGGGUAUUUCGCCACAACAGCAGAUCUCUCGAAAGCCGAAUGGGUGAGUACCCUGUUAGUUGCGAUGCUUGUGUUGUUGAUGCCUCUAAGGGAAGCAAGUUUCUUCGGGCCCUCUGCGUUUCUGCUAGCUCCGAUUUGUAUGUGGAUCACAAAAUCACAAGAAUCAGGUCAAGACUCUGCUAAAUGGAACACAAAACCAUAAUAAUGCAGCUCAGUUUGCUUUAUUUGUAUUCUUAUCUUUUUUCUUUUACGGGGUAUUUGGAUUCUUAUCUACUCUAACUGAAGUUGAUUCUAUAUCGUCCAGGAUAGGAAAACAGACCCAUCCACCUUAUCUACUGUCGGUUCAGUUGAUUCUUACCUACAGUCACUUAAGUUGAUCCGCAUCAAUGCUAUUUUCGCUUUCCUUCCAUUAACCGUGUGUGUUCCAUAGUUUAUCUCUGAAGAAAUACAACAUGGGUCUAUGAUCGUAUUUUUCUGAAAUACGCGGUGGAACAAAUCACCAUGGCGGUGCACAUUAUUGGUACUAGCAAAGUGCUUUGUGCGUUGGUAUGAAAAAGAAGAAGAUGACAAGACGUUAACUUCUUGCUUCUUCUAUUUCAGUAUUUCCACCUGUUCCUUGACUCAGCCAUCGUUUCCCUUCCCAUUGUUUUGGAAUGAUGGCGAGUGGUAAAAGCAGCUGCUCUUGAUACGGUUGUACGUCCUGUUCUUAGCAUGUCUGUGAUUGCAAUAGCCGAGGACUUAUUCCUAGAAAGCAAUACCCACGGCGCAUGCCUGCUCAUAUAUUUCCCAAUUCUCCAUCAGCAACUCAUGCACUGAAUGGACUUGAGUUAACGACUCAUGACUGGUGGCGCAACGCGACUACAAAUUGCGGCAAAAUUCCGUGCUUCAAUUCUAUCCACCAGCUGUGGUAGAAAUAAAGGUUUCACUGUUGAAUUCUAUUUAAUACAAAUCCUGGACCGAAAGUCUUGCUGGAAGUCAUGUGUCCGAGGGAAUAUGAGGCCAUGGCUGCAACUUCUGGAACUCAAAGCAUGUGCAGCCAAGCAGCAUCUUGACCACACAAACUGAAGAAAAAUACAAACUCAAGUGGGUUACCAGCGCUUUCUAUACAUCUACCAGGCCGCGUACUGUCUAACAUCCGACACGCCAAAAUUUUCUUCUUCAGUGUCACCAUCUAUCCUCUAUUUUCUCCUUUGGAAAAAAUGACAGAUUA